rnacentral:rRNA from 1 species
GUAACAAGGUUUCCGUAGGUGAACCUGCGGAAGGAUCAUUAAUGAGAUCAUGCCCUUCGGGGUAGACCUCCCACCCUUUGUUUACAAUACCAUUGUUGCUUUGGCGGCCCCGUCGCAAGACAACCGGCUCCGGCUGGUCAGUGGCCGCCAGAGGACUCCAAAACUCAUAUUGUCAUUGUCGUCUGAGUACUAUACAAUAGUUAAAACUUUCAACAACGGAUCUCUUGGUUCUGGCAUCGAUGAAGAACGCAGCGAAAUGCGAUAAGUAAUGUGAAUUGCAGAAUUCAGUGAAUCAUCGAAUCUUUGAACGCACAUUGCGCCCCCUGGUAUUCCGGGGGGCAUGCCUGUUCGAGCGUCAUUACAACCCUCAAGCUCUGCUUGGUAUUGGGCGCCACCCCCGGGUGCGCCUUAAAAUCAGUGGCGGUGCCGUCUGGCUUCAAGCGUAGUAAUACUUCUCGCUUUGGAGUCCGGGCGAGCGUCCUGCCAAAACCCCCAUAUUUUUUCAGGUUGACCUCGGAUCAGGUAGGGAUACCCGCUGAACUUAAACAUAUCAA